AAUUCAGUUAUUGCUAGCCUGCAUUCACACCCUCCCUUCCUUUCUCUUUUCCCCUCUCUCUCUAGACAAAGGAAAAGCAAAAAGCGGGGAGAGAGAGAGAGAGAGCACAGCCGCGUUGGUUUCUUUCUGUUCCUUCUUCCUCUCCACCUUGCAACCAAACCAACCCUCCAUGGAUUGCUCCUUUCGUUUUUCACGGUUUCGUUUUCUCUCCUACAAAACUAAUUACAUUUACAGAAAAGAUGGGAAGCAGCAGCCCCUUUCCUUCUUCAACAAAACAACCAAAAUAUGACAUUUCCUUGUUAAUUUACUACGGCCAAUAUGCGUUGGCUUCUUAACAUUUCUUCUUCUUCUUCUUCUUCUUCCCUUUCUCCUCAGAAACGUUCAUCUUCAUCUUUCUCUCCUUCUUCAAUGGCCACGGAAGAGACUUUCCCUUCGAUUAGGAGAGGUCAUGGCAGUCGUAUUAGUCGAAAUAAUCAUCAUAGUUUAAGGUUAGGUGGUGGUGGUGAUGAAAGGCCUAAGCUUAUAAGGCAAAGGAAGUUAAGACAUUUGACCGAUCAAGACCUUGCAGGUCAAAAAAAUCAGGUGGCACCACCGGAUCAUCAUGUGGAUUCUGGUGCCCUUCCGAGGUCAACUUCUGCUUCAGUUGCUGUGCCAUUACCGCUUCCAUUGCCCGUGCCUUCUGGAGAUGGGGACUUGAGGUUGCCUUCGCCCAAGGAGAGGCAUGGCGAUGGUUUUAGGGAAAGAGAAAGAGACAGGGGUGAUAGGGUUGGAGAGGGAUUGUCUUCUUCGAAUUCUCCAAUUUCUAGUACAUUUGCUGGUCGAAACAUGAAGAAAAUGACUGAGCAUCUACACUCUCAGUCACCUAGGAUGGUACGUCCGGAUUUCAGUACUGCUCAGAGUUCUCGGAACUUCGGGAUCAAUAUCCCUACGAGGAGCGCUCCUACUAGUCCUUUCACAAGUCCUGUCCGCAGCCCACAAAGAACGAGUAACACUGCUGAUAUGCUUCCUUACUACCGCAUGAUUGCUAAAGCAAAUCAAGUCUGGUCUGCACCAGAGAUGGCAACAUUAGACAUACCUGGGCUUCCUCCUCCAGCAUUCAUGGAUAUCAGUGCUUUUAGUACUGAUAGUUCUCCUCUUCAAAGUCCACCAAAUUUAAGUCCCCGACGGAGUGCCAGAAGCCCAACUGGACCUCCAUCACCAUUGAUUGCCAAGUUAUCAAUCGAAAGCUCAGCUGCAUGGCGUGAAAGUAAUGCUAAUUUUGAGGUCCACCCUUUACCUCUUCCUCCAGGAGCAGCUGUCCCUUCACCAUCAAUACCAGUUCCUCUAGCUCUUUCUAAACUAGAAUCCAUGUCUAUGAAAAGUCAGUGGCAGAAGGGAAAGCUAAUUGGACGCGGUACAUUUGGAAGUGUUUAUGUUGCCAGCAAUAGGGAAACUGGGGCAUUAUGUGCAAUGAAGGAAGUGGAAAUGUUUCCUGAUGACCCAAAAUUUGCUGAGUCUAUAAAUCUAAUAGAAAAGGAAAUUGAAGUUUCUAGCCACCUGAAGCAUCCAAACAUUGUGCAGUAUUAUGGUAGUGAAAUAGUGGAUGAUAAAUUCUAUAUAUAUCUGGAGUAUGUUCAUCCAGGUUCAAUAAAUAAAUAUGUACGUGAACAUUGUGGAGCCAUAACAGAAAGUGUAGUUCGUAAUUUUAGUCGCCAUAUUGUUUCUGGGCUAGCUUACUUGCACAGCAAGAGGAUAAUACACAGGGAUAUAAAAGGGGCUAAUUUGCUUGUUGAUGCAUCUGGAGUUGUGAAGCUUGCGGACUUUGGGAUGGCAAAACAUCUUACUGGACAAGCAGCUGAUCUUUCUCUAAAGGGAAGCCCUUACUGGAUGGCUCCUGAGCUCAUGCAAGCUGUAAUGCAUAAGGAUUCCAGCUCUGAUCUUGCACUUGCUGUUGAUAUUUGGAGUUUGGGAUGUACUAUUAUUGAAAUGUUCACUGGGAAACCUCCUUGGAGCGAGUAUGAGGGGGCUGCAGCCAUGUUUAAAGUUAUGAGGGAUAGCCCAUCUAUACCUGAAGUGUUGUCACCAGAGGGCAAGGAUUUUUUGCGUUGCUGCUUUCAAAGAAACCCAGCAGAGAGACCGUCAGCAACCAUGUUACUGGAACAUCGGUGGUUGAAAAACUCUCAGCAGCUCGAUGUAUCAUCUACCAUCCAGUCAAUCAGUGGGAUAAAAUUGACUGAUAUAUCCCAAAGUCUAAGAGCUUCUGAAGUCAAAUUUGAUCAUCUGCCAGGAUUACCAAGCUCAAGUACUAAAGGAAAGACGACUGCUGACAGCUUUGCGCAUUAUUCUUUUUCUCCAGCAAAACUGUCCAACAACUUCGUCAUGAAACUUCCAACUUAAAAGACAAAAUGGCCUCCCAUCAUUCUCCUUGUUCAGUUCCUGUGGUUCCUCCUACUCUAGCUCCUAUGCAGUUGGAUUGGAGCAUACAUCACAUUAGGUAUUAUUCACAAGAUCCAGUUUAUGCAAAUGUGGUGCUAAAAUUAACCAUAACGUCAGAUAACACAGUACUGGAAGAGCCUCUGCUUGUUCUUUGGAUGGACUAAACUAACAACAAACUGUAAAUUAGAAGAAGUCUUGUUGUUGACCCCUGUGCACUCUGGUGGAUUUCUGGUGGCCAUAGUUUGCUUCAAUAGAUUGUUCUUCCCUUUAUCAUCUUCAGCAAUGCUUCCUAACGUUUUACAUGCUUGCUCAUCUGAAAUAUAGGCCAUGUCAAGGAUUUUAGAAGCAGGUUUUGUACGCUAUUGCAUUGAGUUUAGAGCUUCAGCAAUCUCAGAAGUUGAAUUGUAUGUAUAUUUCCGAAGAUUGAGGAUUAUGUGAUAUCAGCUUGAACAGAUUGCUAUUCUGUUAAGCUAUAUUAUAAGCUUAAGUUUAAACAACAAGUAGAGCCUUCAUUUGCUACAUGUAGAUCGAUGCUGCAGUUGAGAAUUGCUACAUCCAGAUCAGACCUCCAUGUCAUUGUUUGCUAGUCACAAACCGCUCCCUUCCUUCCAAUUGUAAGAUUGAUA